rnacentral:rRNA from 1 species
CCUACGGGAGGCAGCAGUGAGGAAUAUUGGUCAAUGGACGAGAGUCUGAACCAGCCAAGUAGCGUGAAGGAUGACUGCCCUAUGGGUUGUAAACUUCUUUUAUAUGGGAAUAAAAUGUUCCACGUGUGGGCUUUUGUAUGUACCAUAUGAAUAAGGAUCGGCUAACUCCGUGCCAGCAGCCGCGGUAAUACGGAGGAUCCUAGCGUUAUCCGGAUUUAUUGGGUCUAAAGGGAGCGUAGGUGGAUUGUUAAGUCAGUUGUGAAAGUUUGCGGCUCAACCGUAAAAUUGCAGUUGAAACUGGCAGUCUUGAGUACAGUAGAGGUGGGCGGAAUUCGUGGUGUAGCGGUGAAAUGCUUAGAUAUCACGAAGAACUCCGAUUGCGAAGGCAGCUCACUGGACUGCAACUGACACUGAGGCUCGAAAGUGUGGGUAUCAAACAGGAUUAGAUACCCUUGUAGUC